CUUGCUUUCUUUGCUGGCGACCGGCGCACGGGUGAGUAACACGUAUCCAACCUACCCCUUACUCGGGGAUAGCCUUUCGAAAGAAAGAUUAAUACCCGAUAGCAUAAUGAUUCCGCAUGGUUUCAUUAUUAAAGGAUUCCGGUAAAGGAUGGGGAUGCGUUCCAUUAGGUUGUUGGUGAGGUAACGGCUCACCAAGCCUUCGAUGGAUAGGGGUUCUGAGAGGAAGGUCCCCCACAUUGGAACUGAGACACGGUCCAAACUCCUACGGGAGGCAGCAUG
rnacentral:rRNA from 1 species